rnacentral:lncRNA from 1 species
UAAAGGUAGAAAAGCGAACUUCAGCUACGUGGUGAGAAUCGGUUGUACCAAGUAGGAAAGGCUGCUUUCUCGGACAGCGGAAACUGUAUACGACGUCGUUUCAUUUACUACUUCGGCGAACCUGCAGCUCUCUCUACACAACAACAAAAACAACUGCACCUAGUUUGCAAUACCUUUACCACUUUCAAAGGAAACGGUGAAUGAACGUGGUAAAAUAAAAAAUGAACUUGAAGCAAAUUAACAACCUCAAUAAAAUAUUUGCGGACAGUUUCUUAGAGGCAAUAAGACGCAUGCUAAGACCCCAAUUGCGGAUGGGUAAAUAAUUGGUCACACCCAAUCAACUACAUACAUCAAACGACGAAUUGAUGAUGAAAAUCGUGACCCGUUUACAAGAAUGGAAUAUGGAUGUGUUUCGCCGAUGCUUUGUUGAACGUGAAUUCGUAGAAAUAACAGGGUAAUGGCGAUGCAUAAAACGAGUCUAUUGUUACGUGUACAUGAAAAGCCAAACAAGAGACACCAUCAAUGAUGAAUAUCGACGAGCGUGCUACAUUGUUACAGAAGUACUGGGUCUAAGAAUUCUACCGUUCCCAUUUACACCGAAGAAGCAAAGAUAGACAUCGAAACGAGACGAAGACUGCAAGUCACUCGACAUCACUGCUGCUGGCUCCUAAAUGUGGUAGAUCACAUCCCCCCUUUUUGUUAGUCGAGAAUUACUCGGGUCGAUGGUUAUCGUAAUCGACAUAUUCUUUGUUCGUUAUUGUUGCAUCUUAUCAGGCUUGUCGUACCAGUUUAAACUAUGUAUAAAAACUCUUCAGUGUUUCAUCUAUCUUGUUUUUUUCCCCACAAAGGUUCACCGAGAGAAAAUCAAUUCAUCAAUUACGAUCAGCAUUCGAUAAUCGGUAAUAACAUUG